rnacentral:rRNA from 1 species
AGGACGAACGCUGGCGGCGUGCUUAACACAUGCAAGUCGAACGGUAAGGCCUUUCGGGGUACACGAGUGGCGAACGGGUGAGUAACACGUGGGUGAUCUGCCCUGCACUUUGGGAUAAGCCUGGGAAACUGGGUCUAAUACCGAAUAUGACCAUGGGAUGCAUGUCUUGUGGUGGAAAGCUUUUGCGGUGUGGGAUGGGCCCGCGGCCUAUCAGCUUGUUGGUGGGGUUACGGCCUACCAAGGCGACGACGGGUAGCCGGCCUGAGAGGGUGUCCGGCCACACUGGGACUGAGAUACGGCCCAGACUCCUACGGGAGGCAGCAGUGGGGAAUAUUGCACAAUGGGCGAAAGCCUGAUGCAGCGACGCCGCGUGAGGGACGAAGGCCUUCGGGUUGUAAACCUCUUUCAGCACAGACGAAGCGCAAGUGACGGUAUGUGCAGAAGAAGGACCGGCCAACUACGUGCCAGCACGCCGCGGUAA